rnacentral:rRNA from 1 species
UACGUAGGCAGCAAGCGUUGUUCGGAGUUACUGGGCGUAAAGGGUGUGUAGGCGGUUCCUUAAGUUUGCUGUGAAAUCUCCCGGCUUAACCGGGAGGGUGCGGUGAAUACUGAGGGACUAGAGUACGGGAGAGAAAGUUGGAAUUCCUGGUGUAGCGGUGAAAUGCGUAGAUAUCAGGAGGAACACCGGUGGCGAAGGCGGGUCUACUGG